CGCUGUCCCAGAGCAUCGGGAAUGGGCCAGCUGGGGCUCCCCGGGGCCUCUGGGUCGUGGAGAAGGAGCUGUGUCCGCGCUCACGUCAGAGACUGAGCCGUCCCCCCAGGUCGGACGGACAGGGACAGACACCUCAGAGAGACCCAGUCUGGGCCUGUGGGACUGACUGACUCCGGUGGGGCAUGACACCAGCUAGCAGUUCUGGCCUGCAAAGGUGGCUUUGUGCUCAACAGCAGCAGGAACAACUGGAAAAUGGUGAUGCCCGGACUCAAGUUUCAGCAAUUUGGCUUUGGAGGCAGUCUGACAAGUCAACCAAAGAGGAUGACAAGGGCACACAGGAGCUUUAACUCGAUGACAAGACUGAAUCAGCUGGGAACGAGCGUUGUUGUGAGUGAGGGUUCUGGAAGGGGAAGGAAUGCGCCUCUGAGCCACAGCGGACUGGGUUUGUCUUUCCCAGGGCAAGUGGGCCGGGCCUCGGUACUUGGGGGCAAGGAUCGGGACAGGGCCUGUGUGGACACCCCAGCUGUAGAAUGUGUCCCUUGGUCACAAAUGCCUGGGUGCAAAUGACCACCGCACACCCUCCCCCCGUCCCUGCCACUCUUCCCGCUUUCUCGCUGAUGGUAACCGCCAUGCUGGUGGCCGAGGUGGCCCAGGUGGGAAGACCUGGGAAGUCAGGGGCCCCAGUGUGAGCGCUGCCGCCGCCCAGGCCCCCAGGUGCAG